AUAUCUGCUGAUAACACAAAUGCAUGGUAGGAAGGCUUAGUCAGAGAAAAUGCAAAUACUCUGAAGUAGCCCAAGCUUUUGGGCCAGAAUGAUGUCAUCCUCACUUCAUUAAAAUGCAUUAGAAUGCUUUGCACCUAAUAGGUCGUCAAUAAGUAUUUGCUUAGAAAAAAUGAUAUUGUCAUGGAGGGAUGCCAUAUCCAUGCAUCACACAGCAGAAAGGCAAGGUAGAUGGACACAAGCAGCUAGCACUUGCAAAUAACAUGGUGGCUGGCCGACCCUUGUUCCGUCUCCUUCAGCUAAUCUUCCCUUUGUUUACGGUUUACCCUGGUGGUGUUUUCUUUAUCACAGAGAUGUUGUGGGUGUCCUUUAUAGUAGAGAUGUGAGGGCACCCACAACAUCUCUCUAGAGGAUGGGAAAUCCUAGCUUGUAAAGGUUUGGAUCUGUAUUUCUCAAGCAGUUAUAAUUUAGUAACAAUUGAACUAAAGGAUCCUAGGCUCUACUGAGCAUGUUCAGAAAGUCUAUCUGAACUGAAACGAUCAUCAAGGGAAAGUGAGUUAAGAUGGGGAGAAAAAGACAGGAAAGCUUUUUAAAACACAGUUUAAAAGGAUGAUAUGAAAUGCAGUGAAUGUGUGUGUUAUAAUGUUACACGAACAGUCAGGGUCAAAGGUGGGCUGUGUUUCUAUGAGCUGUCCAUGCCACAGACAUUGAAUGCCUGUCUGGGUCUGCCCAAAGCAAACAUUUUCGAGAGUGUGGAUCUCAGCUCUGUUGUGAAUCCUACUCCUCCUCAAGGUUACCCCCACGUCAAUUUAACCAUGAGGGAGAAACCUGUCUCUGUGGCAUUUCAGAAGAGGCGUGGAACAGGCUAGGGUGGGUGCAGCCACCCCUCUCUCUGGCUUCCCUCUCCCCACGGAGCUGGCCCGGCCUGCAAGAGGGUGUUCAGGGAGCAGGGCUGGCAGGACAGCCAUGUGGGUCAUUUUGAUU